rnacentral:rRNA from 1 species
CACGUAGGGCGCAAGCGUUGUCCGGAAUUAUUGGGCGUAAAGAGCUCGUAGGCGGUUUGCCACGUCUGCUGUGAAAUCCCAAGGCUUAACCUUGGGCUUGCAGUGGAUACGGGCAGACUAGAGGUAGGUAGGGGAGAAUGGAAUUCCCGGUGUAGCGGUGAAAUGCGCAGAUAUCGGGAGGAACACCGGUGGCGAAGGCGGUUCUCUGGGCCUUACCUGACACUGAGGAGCGAAAGCGUGGGGAGCGAACAGG